CUCUCCCCACCGAUUGGCCCCACAGAUCUGGAAGCUGCAGUUGUGGGGCUGCUGCAGGAGCUGUGGAGGAGCUGCCCCAUAGAUGUGGGGCGGGGAAUGGAGCGGCUGCCCCAUAGCGACCGGGGGAGGCUGCAGAGGGCCAUGGGAUUGGACGCCGCGGCCGCCAUGACACCACCGACUGACCAAUAAAAGGAUGGAGGCCGA